UGACCGCCAGAUUGACAAUGGGAUGAGACGGUACAUAUGAAAUAGAAAUCACCAGUUCUGUUAAGAGUCACUCUUCUGUGAUGUUGUUAUUAUGUCAUUUGUAUUUUGAUUCACAUUGCAGUUGUCAAAGUCUGCCUUGUUGGUUGCAGCAACAGUGUGCGCACCCGCAAAGAAAUUGAAAACUGUAAUAGCAGCAUUAGGGUAAGACACUAUUUCAUUCAAUCAAAUUAAUAUUUUUAAAGAUAAAAUAAAACUCACUAGAACAUCGUUUGUUUGAAUGUGUUAUUGGACCGCCCAGUCAGAGUAAAACUUAGCGCCAGCACUACUUGUCCAACCUCUUUGAGUCCUGUUGAGUCUCCAACUGUAUGAUCUGCUGCUUCUGUUCUUUCCAAUAUUGUUGCAACAAAAGCAAAAACUACUAAAAUAAUUGACAUAUUCCUUAACUGAGACAUUCUUUUUGUUCUUCUUAAUCUGUGUUUUCAAGUCGCCCCUGCUUGUUUGUGUUUUUAUGUUUAUCAGAAACACUUGAAUUGAAUUUGAUAUUAUACCUUCUGUUUUGAUUCCUUAUAUAUAGAGAGGUUUCAUAAGAAGAACUAUUCUCAGUGCAAGACUGAGUAUUUUUUUUUUUCAUUAACUAAUAAAAUUGUGAAAGAGUGGUUGGGUCAAUAUUUGGGUUCCGGUAAACUGCAUGGAAAUGGUCUAGAAGUAGACUUUCAUUUCAAUAUGAAUAUGGAUGGAACUUGUCUCUAUUACUAUCUCAUAUUCUUCCCUUACCUUACCCACCAAAUCCCG
rnacentral:lncRNA from 1 species